CCAGACUCCUACGGGAGGCAGCAGUGGGGAAUAUUGGACAAUGGGGGCAACCCUGAUCCAGCAAUGCCGCGUGUGUGAAGAAGGCCUGAGGGUUGUAAAGCACUUUCAGUGGGGAGGAGGAUUGWUWGGUUAAGAGCURAAURAUUGGACGUUACCCACAGAAGAAGCACCGGCUAACUCCGUGCCAGCAGCCGCGGUAAUACGGAGGGUGCGAGCGUUAAUCGGAAUUACUGGGCGUAAAGGGUGCGUAGGUKGUUGRUUAAGUUAUCUGUGAAAUCCCUGGGCUUAACCUGGGMAGGUCAGAUAAKACUGAUUGACUCGAGU
rnacentral:rRNA from 1 species